rnacentral:rRNA from 1 species
GAUGAACGCUGGCGGCGUGCCUAAUACAUGCAAGUCGAGCGAACAGACGAGGAGCUUGCUCCUCUGACGUUAGCGGCGGACGGGUGAGUAACACGUGGAUAACCUACCUAUAAGACUGGGAUAACUUCGGGAAACCGGAGCUAAUACCGGAUAAUAUAUUGAACCGCAUGGUUCAAUAGUGAAAGACGGUUUUGCUGUCACUUAUAGAUGGAUCCGCGCCGCAUUAGCUAGUUGGUAAGGUAACGGCUUACCAAGGCGACGAUGCGUAGCCGACCUGAGAGGGUGAUCGGCCACACGGGAACUGAGACACGGUCCAGACUCCGACGGGAGGCAGCAGUAGGGAAUCUUCCGCAAUGGGCGAAAGCCUGACGGAGCAACGCCGCGUGAGUGAUGAAGGUCUUCGGAUCGUAAAACUCUGUUAUUAGGGAAGAACAAAUGUGUAAGUAACUAUGCACGUCUUGACGGUACCUAAUCAGAAAGCCACGGCUAACUACGUG